AACUCUUUAUUGAAUUUUGCAAGCUUGGACUAGCUGCUGUAGCUCCCCGCCCAUCCAAGUUUGUACCUUCAAAUGAUCCCCUUGAAAGGAAAUUACAUUACAAGCUGGAUGCCGCAAGAAGAAAUCCUUAUACAUGUUCAGGCUGUUAUAGUGGAGAAAGACACUGUUGUUCUCCAAGAAGCAGAAUCGGAGCUUCCCUUGGACACCCUGAUUGAGGAUGUCACUGUACCCGAGGAUGCAGGUCUUUAGAUAUUGACUGAUAUCCUGGAUCAGAAUCUCAAUUGUCGUCAUGGCAAGGUUGUUCGGGGUAUAAGGAAGACGCGGGUUCGUGAGACGGGUGCCUCAUUUUCCAGAUCGACCAUAGGACAGGUUAUCGCUCUAACGAAGGAAGUGGAAACCCUAAAAGGUAAGAUUGCGGCCCAAGAAGCAGCCCGGGAAGCCCAUAUUGCAACCCAAUUAUCGGCCUAGGACGAGAAGGUGAGUAUGAUUUUACAGGCCUUACAAAUGUCCGGCCUUCAAAUCUUGAUGCCAGCACCUGAUCUUGCUCCACCUUCGACCUCCCAGCCACUUUGCCCAGCUGAUACCCAGUAAUCUGAUGUAUCAAACCUAGACGACUACUUGUUGUAGUUUUUUCUUUUAUGUUCGGACAUCUUGUAAGUACAUUUUCAUAUAUUUUACAAUUAAAUAAUUUUUCUUGGUUUA